ensembl:lncRNA
GUUGUGCUAGGGAUGUUGGAGAGAUCUGCUUCAUAACACGUUUUGUGUAAAGAGCACAGUCAGCAACAUCAACUCCCCUUCCACCAAAAACUUGAGUUGGACGAUGGACGUAUUUUUAUUCAGAAUCUGACCAAUGGAGAACACAAUGAUGUAAGUGUUCCAACUCCUCGGAUUAUUGUUUUUCGUUGCAUAAGAGGCAGUACAGUUAAAUUAGUAACUAGCGAGCGUUGUGGUUCCUAUAUGAGGAACAGGUAGGGGUUAUGAUCUUCUUGCUGAAUGAUGCCUACAGGUUAGACUGGGGACAUUGGGGAUCAAACCCGGUACUUUCUGGCUGGGAGUGGAACCCCCUAGCCCUCCGACAGACUCACCCACUGGGAGGACCCUUUGGACGAGCUGGUGCUGGUUCCGUCCACCUCAGAGUCUCCAUGGGGAACCUCAUAGAUCACCCUUGCUGCUUGGUCCAACCCUAACACACACACACACACACACACACACACACACACACACACACACACACACACACACACACACACACACACACACACACACACACACACAGUAUAA